rnacentral:rRNA from 1 species
UAUAGGUUAGACACGACCGCAUCUGAUCGACUCAUAUUAAAGUUGUUGCCGUUAAAAAGCUCGUAGUUGGAUUUCUGCUGGAAGCAGCCAGUCCGCCCUUAGGGGUGUGUACGUGGUGAAAUUCCGGCAUCCUUCUGGUGGCGCUUCGCACUUAACUGGGUGGAGUGCUUUUCCAGGACUUUUACUUUGAGAAAAUUAGAGUGUUUCAAGCAGGCUUGUUGCCUUGAAUACUGCAGCAUGGAAUAAUAAGAUAGGAUUUCGGCCCUAUUUUGUUGGUUUCUAGGACUGAAGUAAUGAUUAAUAGGGACGGUUGGGGGCAUUCGUAUUUAACUGUCAGAGGUGAAAUUCUUAGAUUUGUUAAAGACGAGCUACUGCGAAAGCAUUUGCCAAAGAUGUUUUCAUUAAUCAAGAACGAAAGUUAGGGGAUCGAAGACGAUCAGAUACCGUCGUAGUCUUAACCAUAAACUAUGCCAACUAGAGAUUGGAGGUUGUUCCUUACUC